rnacentral:snRNA from 1 species
GUGCUCGCUUCAGCAGAACAUAUACUAAAAUUGGAACGAUACAGAGAAGAUUAGCAUUGCCCCUGCACCAGGAUGACAUGCAAAUUCGUGAAGCAUUCCAUAUUUUU